rnacentral:rRNA from 1 species
GAUAAACGCUGGCGGCGUGCCUAAUGCAUGCAAGUCGAACGGUUUCUAGUCUUCGGACUAGGGAUAGUGGCAAACGGGUGAGUAACACGUAGGAAUCCACCUCUCGGUGGGGAACAACUCUCUGAAAGGAGAGCUAAUACCGCAUAUACUCUGCAAAGAGGAAAGCAGUAAUGCGCCGGGAGAAGAGCCUGCGGCUGAUUAGCUAGUUGGUGGGGUAAAGGCUCACCAAGGCUGUGAUCAGUAGCUGGUCUGAGAGGACAGACAGCCACACUGGGAC